rnacentral:rRNA from 1 species
ACGCACGCUGGCGGCGUGCUUAACACAUGCAAGUCGCACGGAAAGGCCCUGCUUUUGUGGGGUGCUCGAGUGGCGAACGGGUGAGUAACACGUGAGUAACCUGCCCUUGACUUUGGGAUAACUUCAGGAAACUGGGGCUAAUACCGGAUAGGAGCUCCUGCUGCAUGGUGGGGGUUGGAAAGUUUCGGCGGUUGGGGAUGGACUCGCGGCUUAUCAGCUUGUUGGUGGGGUAGUGGCUUACCAAGGCUUUGACGGGUAGCCGGCCUGAGAGGGUGACCGGCCACAUUGGGACUGAGAUACGGCCCAGACUCCUACGGGAGGCAGCAGUGGGGAAUAUUGCACAAUGGGCGGAAGCUUGAUGCAGCAACGCCGCGUGCGGGAUGACGGCCUUCGGGUUGUAAACCGCUUUCGCCUGUGACGAAGCGUGAGUGACGGUAAUGGGUAAAGAAGCACCGGCUAACUACGUG